rnacentral:rRNA from 1 species
UACGUAGGCAGCGAGCGUUGUUCGGAGUUACUGGGCGUAAAGGGUGCGUAGGCGGUUGUUUAAGUUUGGUGUGAAAUCUCCCGGCUCAACUGGGAGGGUGCGCCGAAUACUGAAUGACUAGAGUGCGGGAGAGGAGAGUGGAAUUCCUGGUGUAGCGGUGAAAUGCGUAGAUAUCGAGAGGAACACCAGUGGCGAAGGCGAGUCCCUGGACAGGUCCUGACGCUGAGGCACGAAAGCUAGGGGAGCAAACAGG